rnacentral:misc_RNA from 1 species
AAUGUCGUAACAAGGUUUUCCGUAGGUGAACCUGCGGAAGGAUCAUUAAUGAGUUAGGUCGCUCGGCCCGACCUCAACCCUUUGUUGUCACAAAAUCCAAUUGUUGCUUUGGCGUGGACCGCCCGCGAGGGCUGCCGGUCUUAGGCCCGGCAUGCGCCCGCCAGAGGAAAACCAAACUCUUGUUUAUCAAACCGUACGUCUGAGUAAAAACUGAUUAAAUCAAUCAAAA